AGAGUUUGAUUCUGGCUCAGAACGAACGCUGGCGGCAGGCCUAACACAUGCAAGUCGAGCGCGCCUUCGGGGUGAGCGGCGGACGGGUUAGUAACGCGUGGGAACGUACCCUUUGGUAGGGAAUAGCCACUGGAAACGGUGAGUAAUACCCUAUGAGCCCUUCGGGGGGAAAGAUUUAUCGCCAAAGGAUCGGCCCGCGUUAGAUUAGGUAGUUGGUGGGGUAAUGGCCUACCAAGCCUACGAUCUAUAGCUGGUUUUAGAGGAUGAUCAGCAACACUGGGACUGAGACACGGCCCAGACUCCUACGGGAGGCAGCAGUGGGGAAUCUUGGACAAUGGGGGCAAACCCCCUGAUCCAGCCAUGCCGCGUGAGUGAAGAAGGCCUUAGGGUCGUAAAGCUCUUUCGCCUGUGAAGGUAAUGACGGUAGCAGGUAAAGAAACCCCGGCUAACUCCGUGCCAGCCGCCGC
rnacentral:rRNA from 1 species